UCUUCCUUGGUCCAGUGGUCAGGAUACCUGCUUGUCAUUGAACAGGUCGCAGGUGGCCGGGGUUCGAUUCCCCGAGGGAGAG
rnacentral:tRNA from 1 species